rnacentral:rRNA from 1 species
ACCUGACUGCUAUCGGAUUGAUACUAAGCCAUGCGAGUCAUUGUAGCAAUACAAGGCAUACGGCUCAGUAACGCGUAGUCAACCUAACCUAUGGACGGGAAUAACCUCGGGAAACUGAGAAUAAUGCCCGAUAGAACAUUAUACCUGGAAUGGUUUAUGUUCCAAAUGAUUUAUCGCCGUAGGAUGGGACUGCGGCCUAUCAGUUUGUUGGUGAGGUAAUGGCCCACCAAGACUAUUACAGGUACGGGCUCUGAGAGGAGUAGCCCGGAGAUGGGUACUGAGACACGGACCCAGGCCCUAUGGGGCGCAGCAGGCGAGAAAACUUUGCAAUGUGCGAAAGCACGACAAGGUUAAUCCGAGUGAUUUCUGCUAAAGAGAUCUUUUGUUAGUCCUAGAAACACUAACGAAUAAGGGGUGGGCAAGUUCUGGUGUCAGCCGCCGCGGUAAAACCAGCACCUCAAGUGGUCAGGAUGAUUAUUGGGCCUAAAGCAUCCGUAGCCGGCUCUGUAAGUUUUCGGUUAAAUCUGUACGCUCAACGUACAGGCUGCCGGGAAUACUGCAGAACUAGGGAGUGGGAGAGGUAGACGGUACUCGGUAGGAAGUGGUAAAAUGCUUUGAUCUAUCGAUGACCACCUGUGGCGAAGGCGGUCUACCAGAACACGUCCGACGGUGAGGGAUGAAAGCUGGGGGAGCAAACCGGAUUAGAUACCCGGGUAGUCCCAGCUGUAAACUAUGCAAACUCGGUGAUGCAUUGGCUUGUGGCCAAUGCAGUGCUGCAGGGAAGCCGUUAAGUUUGCCGCCUGGGAAGUACGUACGCAAGUAUGAAACUUAAAGGAAUUGGCGGGGGAGCACCACAAGGGGUGAAGCCUGCGGUUC